AAAUUGAAGAGUUUGAUCAUGGCUCAGAUUGAACGCUGGCGGCAGGCCUAACACAUGCAAGUCGAACGGUAACAGGAAGCAGCUUGCUGCUUCGCUGACGAGUGGCGGACGGGUGAGUAAUGUCUGGGAAACUGCCUGAUGGAGGGGGGAUAACUACUGGAAACGGUGGCUAAUACCGCAUAACGUCGCAAGACCAAAGAGGGGGGACCUUCGGGCCUCUUGCCAUCAGAUGUGCCCAGAUGGGAUUAGCUUGUUGGUGAGGUAACGGCUCACCAAGGCGACGAUCCCUAGCUGGUCUGAGAGGAUGACCAGCCACACUGGAACUGAGACACGGUCCAGACUCCUACGGGAGGCAGCAGUGGGGAAUAUUGCACAAUGGGCGCAAGCCUGAUGCAGCCAUGCCGCGUGUAUGAAGAAGGCCUUCGGGUUGUAAAGUACUUUCAGCGGGGAGGAAGGUGUUGUGGUUAAUAACCGCAGCAAUUGACGUUACCCGCAGAAGAAGCACCGGCUAACUCCGUGCCAGCAGCCGCGGUAAUACGGAGGGUGCAAGCGUUAAUCGGAAUUACUGGGCGUAAAGCGCACGCAGGCGGUCUGUCAAGUCGGAUGUGAAAUCCCCGGGCUCAACCUGGGAACUGCAUUCGAAACUGGCAGGCUUGAGUCUUGUAGAGGGGGGGUAGAAUUCCAGGUGUAGCGGUGAAAUGCGUAGAGAUCUGGAGGAAUACCGGUGGCGAAGGCGGCCCCCUGGACAAAGACUGACGCUCAGGUGCGAAAGCGUGGGGAGCAAACAGGAUUAGAUACCCUGGUAGUCCACGCCGUAAACGAUGUCUACUUGGAGGUUGUGCCCUUGAGGCGUGGCUUCCGGAGCUAACGCGUUAAGUAGACCGCCUGGGGAGUACGGCCGCAAGGUUAAAACUCAAAUGAAUUGACGGGGGGCCCGCACAAGCGGUGGAGCAUGUGGUUUAAUUCGAUGCAACGCGAAGAACCUUACCUGGUCUUGACAUCCACGGAAGGUCUCAGAGAUGAGACUGUGCCUUCGGGAACCGUGAGACAGGUGCUGCAUGGCUGUCGUCAGCUCGUGUUGUGAAAUGUUGGGUUAAGUCCCGCAACGAGCGCAACCCUUAUCCUUUGUUGCCAGCGAUUAGGUCGGGAACUCAAAGGAGACUGCCAGUGAUAAACUGGAGGAAGGUGGGGAUGACGUCAAGUCAUCAUGGCCCCUUACGACCAGGGCUACACACGUGCUACAAUGGCGCAUACAAAGAGAAGCGACCUCGCGAGAGCAAGCGGACCUCAUAAAGUGCGUCGUAGUCCGGAUUGAGUCUGCAACUCGACUCCAUGAAGUCGGAAUCGCUAGUAAUCGUGGAUCAGAAUGCCACGGUGAAUACGUUCCCGGGCCUUGUACACACCGCCCGUCACACCAUGGGAGUGGGUUGCAAAAGAAGUAGGUAGCUUAACCUUCGGGAGGGCGCUUACCACUUUGUGAUUCAUGACUGGGGUGAAGUCGUAACAAGGUAACCGUAGGGGAACCUGCGGUUGGAUCACCUCCUUA
rnacentral:rRNA from 1 species